GGUUAAGCGACUAAGCGUACACGGUGGAUGCCCUGGCAGUCAGAGGCGAUGAAGGACGUGCUAAUCUGCGAUAAGCGUCGGUAAGGUGAUAUGAACCGUUAUAACCGGCGAUUUCCGAAUGGGGAAACCCAGUGUGUUUCGACACACUAUCAUUAACUGAAUCCAUAGGUUAAUGAGGCGAACCGGGGGAACUGAAACAUCUAAGUACCCCGAGGAAAAGAAAUCAACCGAGAUUCCCCCAGUAGCGGCGAGCGAACGGGGAGCAGCCCAGAGCCUGAAUCAGUGUGUGUGUUAGUGGAAGCGUCUGGAAAGGCGCGCGAUACAGGGUGACAGCCCCGUACACAAAAAUGCACAUGCUGUGAGCUCGAUGAGUAGGGCGGGACACGUGGUAUCCUGUCUGAAUAUGGGGGGACCAUCCUCCAAGGCUAAAUACUCCUGACUGACCGAUAGUGAACCAGUACCGUGAGGGAAAGGCGAAAAGAACCCCGGCGAGGGGAGUGAAAAAGAACCUGAAACCGUGUACGUACAAGCAGUGGGAGCCUCUUUUAUGGGGUGACUGCGUACCUUUUGUAUAAUGGGUCAGCGACUUAUAUUCUGUAGCAAGGUUAACCGAAUAGGGGAGCCGAAGGGAAACCGAGUCUUAACUGGGCGUUAAGUUGCAGGGUAUAGACCCGAAACCCGGUGAUCUAGCCAUGGGCAGGUUGAAGGUUGGGUAACACUAACUGGAGGACCGAACCGACUAAUGUUGAAAAAUUAGCGGAUGACUUGUGGCUGGGGGUGAAAGGCCAAUCAAACCGGGAGAUAGCUGGUUCUCCCCGAAAGCUAUUUAGGUAGCGCCUCGUGAAUUCAUCUCCGGGGGUAGAGCACUGUUUCGGCAAGGGGGUCAUCCCGACUUACCAACCCGAUGCAAACUGCGAAUACCGGAGAAUGUUAUCACGGGAGACACACGGCGGGUGCUAACGUCCGUCGUGAAGAGGGAAACAACCCAGACCGCCAGCUAAGGUCCCAAAGUCAUGGUUAAGUGGGAAACGAUGUGGGAAGGCCCAGACAGCCAGGAUGUUGGCUUAGAAGCAGCCAUCAUUUAAAGAAAGCGUAAUAGCUCACUGGUCGAGUCGGCCUGCGCGGAAGAUGUAACGGGGCUAAACCAUGCACCGAAGCUGCGGCAGCGACGCUUAUGCGUUGUUGGGUAGGGGAGCGUUCUGUAAGCCUGUGAAGGUGUGCUGUGAGGCAUGCUGGAGGUAUCAGAAGUGCGAAUGCUGACAUAAGUAACGAUAAAGCGGGUGAAAAGCCCGCUCGCCGGAAGACCAAGGGUUCCUGUCCAACGUUAAUCGGGGCAGGGUGAGUCGACCCCUAAGGCGAGGCCGAAAGGCGUAGUCGAUGGGAAACAGGUUAAUAUUCCUGUACUUGGUGUUACUGCGAAGGGGGGACGGAGAAGGCUAUGUUGGCCGGGCGACGGUUGUCCCGGUUUAAGCGUGUAGGCUGGUUUUCCAGGCAAAUCCGGAAAAUCAAGGCUGAGGCGUGAUGACGAGGCACUACGGUGCUGAAGCAACAAAUGCCCUGCUUCCAGGAAAAGCCUCUAAGCAUCAGGUAACAUCAAAUCGUACCCCAAACCGACACAGGUGGUCAGGUAGAGAAUACCAAGGCGCUUGAGAGAACUUGGGUGAAGGAACUAGGCAAAAUGGUGCCGUAACUUCGGGAGAAGGCACGCUGAUAUGUAGGUGAAGUCCCUUGCGGAUGGAGCUGAAAUCAGUCGAAGAUACCAGCUGGCUGCAACUGUUUAUUAAAAACACAGCACUGUGCAAACACGAAAGUGGACGUAUACGGUGUGACGCCUGCCCGGUGCCGGAAGGUUAAUUGAUGGGGUCAGCGCAAGCGAAGCUCUUGAUCGAAGCCCCGGUAAACGGCGGCCGUAACUAUAACGGUCCUAAGGUAGCGAAAUUCCUUGUCGGGUAAGUUCCGACCUGCACGAAUGGCGUAAUGAUGGCCAGGCUGUCUCCACCCGAGACUCAGUGAAAUUGAACUCGCUGUGAAGAUGCAGUGUACCCGCGGCAAGACGGAAAGACCCCGUGAACCUUUACUAUAGCUUGACACUGAACAUUGAGCCUUGAUGUGUAGGAUAGGUGGGAGGCUUAGAAGUGUGGACGCCAGUCUGCAUGGAGCCGACCUUGAAAUACCACCCUUUAAUGUUUGAUGUUCUAACGUUGACCCGUAAUCCGGGUUGCGGACAGUGUCUGGUGGGUAGUUUGACUGGGGCGGUCUCCUCCUAAAGAGUAACGGAGGAGCACGAAGGUUGGCUAAUCCUGGUCGGACAUCAGGAGGUUAGUGCAAUGGCAUAAGCCAGCUUGACUGCGAGCGUGACGGCGCGAGCAGGUGCGAAAGCAGGUCAUAGUGAUCCGGUGGUUCUGAAUGGAAGGGCCAUCGCUCAACGGAUAAAAGGUACUCCGGGGAUAACAGGCUGAUACCGCCCAAGAGUUCAUAUCGACGGCGGUGUUUGGCACCUCGAUGUCGGCUCAUCACAUCCUGGGGCUGAAGUAGGUCCCAAGGGUAUGGCUGUUCGCCAUUUAAAGUGGUACGCGAGCUGGGUUUAGAACGUCGUGAGACAGUUCGGUCCCUAUCUGCCGUGGGCGCUGGAGAACUGAGGGGGGCUGCUCCUAGUACGAGAGGACCGGAGUGGACGCAUCACUGGUGUUCGGGUUGUCAUGCCAAUGGCACUGCCCGGUAGCUAAAUGCGGAAGAGAUAAGUGCUGAAAGCAUCUAAGCACGAAACUUGCCCCGAGAUGAGUUCUCCCUGACCCUUUAAGGGUCCUGAAGGAACGUUGAAGACGACGACGUUGAUAGGCCGGGUGUGUAAGCGCAGCGAUGCGUUGAGCUAACCGGUACUAAUGAACCGUGAGGCUUAACCUU
rnacentral:rRNA from 1 species